GAUGAACGCUGGCGGCGUGCCUAAUACAUGCAAGUCGAGCGAACAGACGAGGAGCUUGCUCCUCUGACGUUAGCGGCGGACGGGUGAGUAACACGUGGAUAACCUACCUAUAAGACUGGGAUAACUUCGGGAAACCGGAGCUAAUACCGGAUAAUAUAUUGAACCGCAUGGUUCAAUAGUGAAAGACGGUUUUGCUGCCAAUUAUAGAUGGAUCCGCGCCGCAUUAGCUAGGUGGUAAGGUAACGGAUUACCAAGGCAACGAUGCGUAGCCGACCUGAGAGGGUGAUCGGCCACACUGGAACUGAGACACGGUCCAGACUCCUACGGGAGGCAGCAGUAGGGAAUAUUACGCAAUGGGCGCAAGCCUGACGGAGCAACGCCGCGUGAGUGAUGAAGGUCUUCGGAUCGUAAAACUCUGUUAUUAGGGAAGAACAAAUGUGUAAGUAACUAUGCACGUAUUGACGGUACCUAAUCAGAAAGCCACGGCUAACUACGUG
rnacentral:rRNA from 1 species